GAUUCACUCAUUGAAGUUCCAUGUAUUCAAUACGUAGACAUCUGCUUCUAAGUUUGUAAAUUUAUUUCUAAUCCUCAACAGACUGCCCUAUCGUUGAAAUUACAGGGUAGCAAAAUCAUGUGGGAAUCUACUGUGAUUUUGAAACAAUUCUUAUUAUUGUGUAUAAAUAGUAUGUAACCACCGAUGAAAACACGGUGAAAGCAGCACACCAUUAGUUUUUGUGCCAGUCUCUUUAUCUUAUUUUAUAGUCCCUAGUACUGGCAAGGAUUGCAGUCUUUGCUAGAGACUGGUACUCAGACCAGUAUAAUGCUCCCAUUUAGAUGGGCUGCCCGCACCAUUUUGUGGCUACCGUUUUGCAACUGCAAGGAACAUUUCAGUUUUAAAGUUUGUGGGGGGAGGUCUACGGAUUUUGAUUUAGCCAUGGAGAAAAUAUUUGCAGUUGUAAGGCCUUUUUUGUGCUGUUUGAUGACUAAUAUCCUGCCAGCAUUUCCCAAACGAUGUGUUGCGAUCCUGAUGUAAACAUGAAGCCACAGAAGAAACUAUAGGAAUAAAUUGUGUUUGGUGCAUCGAACCAGGAUUACACAAGUAAAUGUGGUUGUAAACAAAGUGGUUUCUGUAAAUUUUCUGCACAAAUGGCUAUAACAUUUUAAUAUGUUAAGCUUCAAAAUUACUACAUUUCUUAGGAACAAGUUUGUUUCAUUCAGAACUCCUUAGUGCUGUUAACACGCAGUAAAUCGGGCAGCGGGAAGAAAGAACAUUAACAAUUAUGUUAUUUUCUUUUAACUAAACCACAAAUAUUUUUCUUGGUGAUAAUCCUGAUGUUUUCCUGAGUUUCUAAAGCUUUCAAACCAUACCUCCUUUAGAGUAAAGUAUUACAUUUCGACAGACUAACGGGUCUUCAACAAUGUUUAAGAUGGUAAACAUUGGUCAGAAAAUACAUAAUUUGUUUUGGUUGAUGGGUCACAAAAAUAUUUGUAUAAGGGAAAAGACUUUGGGAGACCCUCUGACUUCUGCUUUGUUUAUUUGAUAUCUACAUUGAAUUACUUUUCAAUGCAGACACGGGGCCUCCAGGAGUUCAAGGCAGCUGUGUAGCGUACAUGCCCUUUGUGUCUGUUCGGUCACCUGUAAUUAAUACCAGUUUACACAUUGGACUACUAGCUAGCAGUCCAAACAUUGACAUGAUUCAUUAUCAGAAAAUGGCUUGACUGACAUUGAGUAGCAAGAGAAAACUAUUAAGUCACAACCACAUGUAUCAGAAUUGUGCCAGGUGUAUUAUACUAUUCCUACUGUCAGUAGUAAAUUGAGACUUUGACAUUUAUUUUGAUGUAUUUUUGUGCGGGACUGGGGCCUAUCUUUGUUGGAUAAAAUAAGUUCCAAGUAGUGCCAAACUUCUAGUACACUUCUGGUAACAAGCAAAUAUGAAUUUGCAGCAAAAAUAUAAUUAAGUGGUUCAGCGGUUAGGGAGUCAAGCUUGUAAUCAGAAAGUUCCCAGUUUGAAUCUCGACUGGGCCAAUUAUCUUUGUGUCCCUAUGCCUAUGUUGCUCUGGGGAAGAAUGUCCCUGUACUUACAGUAAAUCACUUUGGAUAAAAAUGUCUGCUAAAUGAUGGAGACAUAUUUGUUUUUCACAAAGUUAGCCAGAGGUCCAGUAGAAGUUUGCCACAAACCUAAUUUGCAUAAGAAAAUAUGUCCUCGCUGCAGCUAUGUCCUCCAUUUGCAGCAACAAUGCCAAAGGUUAACCACAACUGUCUGCCAGAAACCUAAUAUUUUUGGGGCCCCCCUUGGGGUCCCCCUUGUGUCAUCACCCCCAUCAUUACCCUAUUCAACUGGUGAAAAACGACUUAUCAAAUGUGUUUGUACUGGUGAUGACACCAAUACAAACAUUUGAAUUGGUUUUAUUUGCUUUGUUUUUAGGUUUGUUUCUACUCAAGUUCAAUCUUUGCCCCACCCCUAUAUAUUAAAAUAUAAUUCAGAUGAAAUUGUUGCUACGGGG
ensembl:lncRNA